rnacentral:lncRNA from 1 species
UUAAUGUUAUGAUACAGUUUUGACUUCAAACCGGAGAAGAAAUUUAUGGUUUAAAGACUUAUACGGCCGACUUUGAUCCGGUUUACAAAAUCAAGUGCUGAUUGGUUUACAGUUUUCCUUAUAGCUUAGGUUGUCUUCUUAUUUCGACGCGGGUUAGUUAAUGGUUUGUUUGACUUUUAUGGGGCUAAUCUCACACGUGUUGUAAUACGUCGUAGUGUAUGAGAACUAAUAAGCCACAUGAUUGUUAUGCUUAAAACUGUAGUUGAUUGUUUGGAAUUUGUUAAAGAAACUAAUUAGUACAUGAACAGCUCGUUAACCGAUAUAUUAUUAUAUUGAAAGCGACGUGCAAAGUGAACACUUGUCCUUUUGGUUUUGGUCUUGUUAUUAUAACGUUCUGAAACAGUUGUCAAUACAAUACAACACAUGUAUCUACCAGUUUGUUACAUUGUCAUUAGUUCAUGGCAAACCACAAAUUUAUACAGACAGUUGUAUAUACACAUUACAUUCCUUUUUGUUUGGAACUCAAGCUACUUUUUGAUCGAAUAGCUUUUUUUAAAAGAUCUAGGUGACUUAAGGAUUUUCUUUUGUAUCUCUUGAGUUUUUUUUCCCCCCAACACGUUCUUUGGUUUGGUUGAGUCAUGAGACUCAUAACAUUAUCUCAUAUAUAAACAAAUAUCCAAAAAAAGUUGGGGAUAUAAGUAAUUUGGUGAACAUUUCAAACAAUUUAGAAACCGUAUAGUUUGUGCAUAUUUUUCUUAGAAAUUUGGAGGCCAUCGCCCAUAAUCCAAUAUUUCACCGACCCUAUUAAUAAUUUAAUACCUCGUGAUGCACGUAAACCAGUGUUUAGCCCAAAUCAAAGUUACAAACUGAUUGACAAAUUGCUUGAAAUGAUUCUUAAAACUUUUUUUUUGACUAAAUUUUUUCUUAAACUUGAUCGAGGUAAAAAAUGGUUCUGCUUUGAUGCUUGAAAGGCUCCUUCCUACAAUGGCCAUGCUAAUGACUAUGGAGAAUGUGAUAUUAUCAGGCACGCAUCCGUGAUUUUCUAUUCUGUGAAAGCAAUGUACAUCCUCUGAAGCUAACCCAGCUCCAAAGUAACGCCGGCCUAAUCAAGAUCAUGAUUCAUGAAGGUAUCCAUCGAAGUCUCUACGUCACUAGAUUUCAUGAUAUCAAUCAAGUGCCAAGCUGAUAGGUUGAACUGUCUUACUUUACCUGCAAGACGAUGAUUUUAUUGUAACUUGUAAGGAUGAGGCGAUUUCUUGUGGUACACGUAAGUUACCCAGUGAAAGAAAGCUAGCGAUUGGAGGAGAGGGAUUCCGUCAAGAGAGAGUUUUGAUCGUGUUAACGCCAUUAAUGAGAGGUUUGAUGACCUCUCUUGAGUCUUAAGUCUCUUUCAAAGCUCAGAACUCAGAGUAGCUCUGGAUCUCUGGUGAGCCAGCAAAAGGUCAAACUUUACCUGAAGCGGCGACGUUUAGUGCUUCCUCUAUAGAUGAUACCUGUUUUUUUCGUUUAAUAGUCUUUUUUGUUUUUUUUGCUUAAACGUGUCAUUAUCGUGUUACUAGUCUUUUUUCACGUAAAUCUAUUGCUUCGCAAUUAAAAACAUUUAAUGGAAAAACCAAUACGACAAGUCAUAAUUCAAAAGAAAAUUACUCAUUUUAUUUGAACAUAUCCGACUAUAUAAGGAUAUACCCAUUUGGCAAAAAAGGGGUAAGGAUAUAACUCAAUACAUUAGACAGUAUUCUACACGUAUUAUAUGAUGCUUGACCACGUUUUGUGGCUAUGAUAUGUGUUACAUCGAUAUAUGUGUUACAUGGAUGCAGAGCUGUGCCCACCAUGAAGUGAAAAAAGGCAUUUGCCUAGGGCCCUUUUAUAAUAUCAAAAUUUUGGGACCCCUAAUUUCUAUUUUUUUUGUAUUUAGUAAAUAUAAUUAGUUAGAUUUUUAUCAGAUUUGAGAUUCAUUUUUUUUUUGAAACCAUUUUUUGUUAUAAUCUGUUUUAAUUAAAAUCCCAGAGACUUUAAUUGUUUUUUAAAGUUAUCAAUUUCUAAGUUCUACCCAUGCAAAUUAUGAUGAUUUGCUGAAAAAAAUCACAGAAAUAAAAUUUGAUGCAAUUUUUGUUGAUUUUUAAGGUCUUAUCUAUUAUUAUCUAGUUAUAUAUAUUUUGUAUCAUUUUCAUUGAAUAUAAGUAAAUAUAAAAAUAUGUAAACAUCUUAUAUAGUAACUUAGUUUUAGAGGCUUAUUAAAUUUAUGGUUUAAAGACUUAUACGGCCGACUUUGAUCCGGUUUACAAAAUCAAGUGCUGAUUGGUUUACAGUUUUCCUUAUAGCUUAGGUUGUCUUCUUAUUUCGACGCGGGUUAGUUAAUGGUUUGUUUGACUUUUAUGGGGCUAAUCUCACACGUGUUGUAAUACGUCGUAGUGUAUGAGAACUAAUAAGCCACAUGAUUGUUAUGCUUAAAACUGUAGUUGAUUGUUUGGAAUUUGUUAAAGAAACUAAUUAGUACAUGAACAGCUCGUUAACCGAUAUAUUAUUAUAUUGAAAGCGACGUGCAAAGUGAACACUUGUCCUUUUGGUUUUGGUCUUGUUAUUAUAACGUUCUGAAACAGUUGUCAA